rnacentral:sRNA from 1 species
GCCGGGUGUGGUAGCGGGUACCUGUAAUCCCAGCUACUUGGGAGGCUGAGGCAGAAGAAUCACUUGAACCCAGGAGGCAGAGGUUGCAGUGAACCAAGAUUGUGUCACUGCACUCCAGCCUGGGCAACACAGUGAGACUCCGUCUCCA